CACGUAGGGGCCAAGCGUUGUCCGGAUUCAUUGGGCGUAAAGAGCUCGUAGGCGGUUCAGUCAGUCGGGUGUGAAAUCUCCGGGCUCAACUCGGAGGGGCCACCCGAUACUGCUGUGACUCGAGUCCGGUAGGGGAGUGGGGAAUUCCUGGUGUAGCGGUGAAAUGCGCAGAUAUCAGGAGGAACACCGGUGGCGAAGGCGCCACUCUGGGCCGGUACUGACGCUGAGGAGCGAAAGCGAGGGGAGCAAACAGG
rnacentral:rRNA from 1 species